UGACUAUCUAGUUGAAUGGUUCAUUGUUUAUCUGCAUCCUGUUUUAUGAACUAGAUUGGAGGAUAUAAAUUAAGAGCUUCUACUUUGGAUUAACUUUUAGGGAAAGAAUUGCGAACAUAUGUCAUUUAAAUGAUCAUUGUUUUGAAGUCAGUGUUUGAUAUUUCAUUUUAGCAAUAGGUUUAUGUAACUGAUUGGUUGCUUACUGCUAAGUUUCUGUGAACUGUGAGUUCAUAUUUGGAAAGUUUUUUUAACCAUAUGAAUCGAGGAUAAUCAGUUGACAUGUAGAAUAACAGAAUAGUACUUCCUCUAAUUCUUUAACUUAAAUUGCUUUUCAUGUGGCCUCUGGAACUUAUAAGUUGUUGUUGUCCAAGCAGCAUGCUCCUUGCUUUUUCUAUAAGUUCUGCUAUUCAGCUUGGAUUUCUAGUAAGCAUACACUAUAAUAGAUCUACCUCUCUCAUUGUUGAUAUUUUAAA
rnacentral:misc_RNA from 1 species